CGCGGCCUAUCAGCUUGUUGGUGGGGUAACGGCCCACCAAGGCGUCGACGGGUAGCUGGUCUGAGAGGAUGAUCAGCCACACUGGGACUGAGACACGGCCCAGACUCCUACGGGAGGCAGCAGUGGGGAAUCUUGCGCAAUGGGCGAAAGCCUGACGCAGCAACGCCGCGUGCGGGAUGAAGGCCUUCGGGUUGUAAACCGCUUUCAGCAGGAACGAAUCUGACGGUACCUGCAGAAGAAGGUCCGGCUAACUACGUGCCAGCAGCCGCGGUAACACGUAGGGACCGAGCGUUGUCCGGAUUUAUUGGGCGUAAAGAGCUCGUAGGCGGUCGUGUAAGUCGGGUGUGAAAUCUCCAGGCUCAACUUGGAGGGGCCACCCGAUACUGCUCGACUCGAGUCCGGUAGGGGAGUGGGGAAUUCCUGGUGUAGCGGUGAAAUGCGCAGAUAUCAGGAGGAACACCGGUGGCGAAGGCGCCACUCUGGGCCGGUACUGACGCUGAGGAGCGAAAGCGUGGGUAGCAAACAGGAUUAGAUACCCUGGUAGUCCACGCUGUAAACGUUGGGCACUAGGUGUGGGCUCUAACCAACGGAGUCCGUGCCGUAGCUAACGCAUUAAGUGCCCCGCCUGGGGAGUACGG
rnacentral:rRNA from 1 species